rnacentral:rRNA from 1 species
UUCCUACGGGAGGCAGCAGUGAGGAAUAUUGGUCAAUGGGCUUACGCCUGAACCAGCCAAGUCGCGUGAGGGAAGACUGCCCUAUGGGUUGUAAACCUCUUUUGUCAGGGAGCAACGCCGGCUACGUGUAGCCGGACUGAGAGUACCUGAAGAAAAAGCAUCGGCUAACUCCGUGCCAGCAGCCGCGGUAAUACGGAGGAUGCGAGCGUUAUCCGGAUUCAUUGGGUUUAAAGGGUGCGCAGGCGGGCCUUUAAGCCGGCGGUGAAAUCGCGGGGCUCAACCCCGCCGAGCCGUCGGAACUGGGG